rnacentral:lncRNA from 1 species
AGGAAAGAAACGUUCCUGCCAACGGCGCAGGCGCAGUCUCAAAGGCCGAUAAUUGCUCUCUCCCUCCUACCCCUCACGACAGCCUGCUAAGCCAAAGCCAAAGUUUCAGAGAUGUGCGUUGAUUUUCCAGACACAUGCUGCUCCCUGUGGCUGUGGACGGCCUGUGUUUGCAAGUGGAUGGAAAGUGGAUCUAGGAGCCAUCGUGAGGCAAUCUGAUCAGGAAGAAUGGUUCCUGUGCAGCGACCGAAGGCGUUCUGGCCAUGGAGGAGCCAGUAGUCAGCGGGCCAGGAGCUCUGGCACUGGCUGGCUUCUAGUCAGUGAGCUGCCAAGUCAAGACGCGCCAGGCCCCGAAAGCUUUCCUCUCGCUCCAGGCCUAAGGCCAGUGAUGUGCACACAAACAGUGGAGCCCAGCAAAUAAAAAGUGCACGUGGGCAGCCUACAUAUACUGGAAUGAAGGAUAUUCAAG